CAACAAUGUGCUUUUCUCUUUUUAAAAACAUUUCCUCUCACCUUCUAAAAGCAGUCAGACUUUAAAAUUUCACUCAGGGAUAAUUAUUUACAUCUGGAAGGAGAACUUAAACAUCUACAUAUUGAUGGAUCCUGAAAACUAACAAGCAUGGAGGUGCUGAGUGGCCCCUGGGCUGAUCUGGCCCUUUUCCUGCGACAUACUGUCACAAACACAGACACAGACAGCUUUCUUCCUCUCUGGCUCUUUGGAUUGUUUCUAUUCCUGUCAGUCUGCCUGCUGCUGCUGCAGCUAAUUAUCUUCUUCAGCUGGAAACUCAGACAAGCUGAGGCGGAUCUGUCCCAGUUUGAGCCGAACCAAAGUGCCAUCCACAGGCAGAGGCACAGAAAUGCCAGCCUGACGAAGAGAAGUUCUGGAUUACUUCCUGAUACCUGACAGGGAUUAAUUAAACUGAUGGACAAAUCUCUAACAUACAGCUGGGUGGACGGAUCUGGAAAUUUUAAGAGACACUCUGAUCUCCUGGCACCUCAAAAUAAAUUCAAUGAGAACCUUUUGUU